rnacentral:rRNA from 1 species
ACUGUUCGGUUGCAGCUAUCCUAAGGGAAAUUUCGGGAGGAACCAGCUACUAGAUGGUUCGAUUAGUCUUUCGCCCCUAUACUCAAGUUCGACGAUCAAUUUGCACGUUAGAAUCGCUACGGACCUCCACCAGAGUUUCCCCUGGCUUCAUCCUACUCAAGCAUAGUUCACCAUCUUUCGGGUCCCAACAUGUAUGCUCACACUCAAACCUUUCACUCGAAGGAUCAUGGUCGGUCGAUAGUGCAGCCGAAGCUUCCUAUCUCAGCAAACCGAAGCUUGCCUUUACGUUAAUUUCGCGCUUGGGACUUGACUCCCUAACACUUGCACACAUGUUAGACUCCUUGGUCCGUGUUUCAAGACGGGUUGAUGAGAAGCAUUUCGUGAGAGUCGUUCCGAGGCUCGGCAGGUGACUGAAUACUCAGACCUUUUCCCUUGCUAUCGAAACAAGCCUCACUUGAUAUGGCAUAGAGAGACUCUACGCCCAUCACACUGCUUCCCAGCUUUUCCUUUUCAGCAAUUUCACGUACUAUUUCACUCUCUUUUCAAAGUGCUUUUCAUCUUUCCCUCACGGUACUUGUUUGCUAUCGGUCUCCUAUCGAUAUUUAGCUUUAGAAGGAAUUUACCUCCCGCUUUGAGCUGCAAUCCCAAACAACUCGACUCGUCGAUAAGCAUCUACUUUCUCUUUCCACUGAUACGAACGGGGCUGUCACCCUCCACGGCGGAUCAUUCCAGAUCACUUUAUCAGCUUCCGAAGAUUCGAUGUCCCAUCUGCAGACCACAUUCCCGAAGGUUUUCAGUCUGAGCUAUUCCCGCUUCACUCGCCGUUACUGAGGGAAUCCUGUAGU